CCCAAAGGCCCAGCGGCGGCGGCGGGUCGCAGGUCUGAUGCAGAGACCCGAGUGUGGACUCCAGGAAGAUCUCGAGCUCGACCUGCCGCCCUCCUAGGGACCCCAGGGGCCGAGUGGGCACCUGGUGGCAGAGGGCCGGACCGCAGGGUGGGGCGCUGGCCGGUUCCGCCCACCAGGCGUUGCAACGGGCGCUCUUGCUCCGGUUGCUUGAAGCCACCGGGAUCGUGGACAUUUUUGGAGCAAACGUGCGUCUGUCAGGCCGCUCAUUUCAAACUCCGCGAGGCUGCGCUCUCAGUCUCAGCCUGCGGUCCUGCCCCGCGCUCUGCCCCGGAGGUCUCAGCUGAGCCCCCCCCAGUCCCUCCCACCCGAGAUGUGUGCCUGCGACAGGACCCCUGCCCUCCAACCCUUUCCCGUCGGGGAAGACACCCCCAGCUCUUAGGGUGAAGGGUUUUGCUCUUGAUUACCAAAAUAACAGCUCCACUUUCACAGAGAUUGGGCAGAGCCUUACACACUGGUAUGGGAGAAGAGGAGAGGCAACUGGAAGGGAUGGUCUCAACAAUAACCAGAGAAUGUCCUGAGAACACAGCAUCCUGAGAUAAGGAGAGACAGGCUGGACAAUCUGAGCUCUGUUCUAGUCGACCUCCCCAGAAACAGGAUGCCCUCUGCUAUGGUUUCAACAUGUCUCCCAAAGUUCCUGUGCUGGAAACUUGGCCUUCAAGGCAACAGUGUUGAGAGGUGCAUCCUUUAAGAGAUGGUAUUAAUGGAUUAAUCCUGUUAUCAUGGGCAGAUGAGUUAUGGUAGGAGUGGCUCUUGGUAAGAGGAUGAGUGUAUCUGCCUUCUCUUCUCUCUCCCCAUAUGAAGAAUAGGAAGAAGACCCUUAUCAUGUGCCAUCUUCUAGCUUCUAGAAAUCCCAGUCUUCAAAACUGUGAGAAAUAAAUUUCUUUAUACAGUGUCAAGACUGGAUUCUGUUAUAGCAACAAGACAUGGACUUGGACACUGCAGUGAUUCAGCCCAGUGUUUCUGGUGUUUGGCUUGUUCAACACAACCCAGGGCUGCUUUCAGGAUCCCUCAGCUGCUGUGCUACUGAGGCACACACAGUUGAGACUACUUGUCCAGGGCAGUUUUCCUGAGCAUUGGGGAACGGGCUGGCAUGAAUCCAGAGUAUCUGUUGUCUCUUAACUGUAAAUA